GACGAACGCUGGCGGCGUGCUUAACACAUGCAAGUCGAACGGAAAGGCCCUGCUUUUGUGGGGUGCUCGUGUGGCGAACGGGUGAGUAACACGUGAGUAACCUGCCCUUGACUUUGGGAUAACUUCAGGAAACUGGGGCUCAUACCGGAUAGGAGCUCCUGCUGCAUGGUGGGGGUUGGAAAGUUUCGGCGGUUGGGGAUGGACUCGCGGCUUAGCAGCUUGUUGGUGGGGUAGUGGCUUACCAAGGCUUUGUCGGGGAGCCGGCCUGAGAGGGUGAACGGGCACAUUGGGAAUGGGAUACGGCCGAGACUCGUACGGGAGGUAGGAGUGGGGAAUAGUGCACAAUGGGCGGAAGCCUGAUGAAGCAACGCCGCGUGCGGGAUGACGGCCUUCGGGUUGUAAACCGCUUUCGCCUGUGACGAAGCGUGAGUGACGGUAAUGGGUAAAGAAGCACCGGCUAACUACGUGCCAGCCGCCGCGGUAA
rnacentral:rRNA from 1 species